AGUUAACGCUUGCGGCCUGCCUAAUACAUGCAAGUCGAACGGAGUGGCGCCCGGGUGCGUAAUGUAUAGCUAAUCUGCCCUACACUAGAGGACAACAGUUUGAAACGACUGCUACUACUCUAUAGUGUAGGUUGAGGCUAUAUUGUAUCAGCUAGUUGGUGAGGUAAUGGCUCACCAAGGUUAUGACGCAUAACUGGUCUGAGAGGAUGAGCAGUCAAACUGGAACUGAGACACGGUCAAGACUCCUACGGGAGGGAGCAGUAGGGAAUAUUGCUCAAGGGGGGAAACCCUGAAGCAGCAACGCCGCGUGGAGGAUGACACUUUGCGGAGCGUAAACUCCUUUUGUUAGGGAAGCGGUACCUAACGAAUAAGCACCGGCUAACUCCGUGCCAGCAGCCGCGGUAAUUC
rnacentral:rRNA from 1 species